AUGCAAUCAGAAAGCCAUACACUCGAGGAAACAAACACCACAGUUGCAGGACCUACUGAAACAGAACUAAGGGCAGGGCCAAUUGGUGUUGAUCGAAAUGCUAUGGAUGAAGAUGAGGCUGGUUCUCAGCCAAUGGAGCCAUUUGUUGGGAUGAGAUUUGACACUCUGCAGGGUGCUAAGGAUCACUACAAUGAUUAUGCCCUAAAAAUCGGUUUCUCUAUUAAGAUGAACACUUCAAGGAGGAAUUCUUAUACCAACAUAUUGGAGAAACAGCAAGUUACAUGUAACAAGUUUAGGAAGCCAAAAUAG
rnacentral:rRNA from 1 species